rnacentral:lncRNA from 1 species
AGAAGUCUGAUUUAAGGGACCCCUGAGACUGAAUACUGACAGUGUAACACGAACUGUAGCAGACGUGAGACUAAAACUUAACUCUUCGAGUGUUGUUUUGUCUGUAAAAAAGCAUAACGCAUGUAGAAGUGUUUUAUCCAAAGGAGGCACCGCGUGUGAGAUUCUAAACCACACCAAGUGACCAACAUGCAGAUGGCAGCAACAGACUAUUGCCACGUGACUGGGGCUGACAGGUUCAUUGAGACUAGUGGAAUGAUUUGAGAGAGCGCUAACUAAUUUCAGAGAGACCUCCACAGCCUUGGUCCACUUUGGGAAGUUGGAUUUAAUAGUAUGUGAAAAUGACUGAAACCAAAAGCAGGCACAGAGGUGAGAAUUCUCAGUGGUUCCUGUGGAUAUACCUUCAUAGUUGGUGAAAUCCACAUUCUUAUCUGAGGUUUACCUCAAAUCUCCCCCAACUAUUCUUAUCCCCUUAAAUCCAUGCCUGCCUUCCUGCCCAUUGAAUAUUGACAUAUUUGCUCAGAUGGAGCUAUAGGAUAUAGUCUGUGUUCAAGCUUGUCUACUUUGCAGUGAACAUGUAAGUGAAAUUCACUUUUUCUCCAAUUCUACUCUGUAUCUGAAAAUUUCUGACCUUUUUUUCUUUCCUCGUGCAUCAGAAACUACAUGUGCAUGUCUUUGUGUGCUGGC